rnacentral:rRNA from 1 species
UACGAAGGGGGCUAGCGUUGCUCGGAAUUACUGGGCGUAAAGGGCGCGUAGGCGGAUCGUUAAGUCAGAGGUGAAAGCCCAGGGCUCAACCCUGGAAUUGCCUUUGAUGCUGGCGAUCUUGAGUACGGGAGAGGUGUGUGGAACUCCGAGUGUAGAGGUGAAAUUCGUAGAUAUUCGGAAGAACACCAGUGGCGAAGGCGACACACUGGCCCGUUACUGACGCUGAGGCGCGAAAGCGUGGGGAGCAAACAGG